UACGUAGGAUGCAAGCGUUGUCCGGAAUUAUUGGGCGUAAAGCGCGUGUAGGCGGCUCGGUAAGUCUGCUGUGAAAGUCCAAGGCUCAACCUUGGAAAGCCGGUGGAUACUGUCGAGCUCGAGUCCGGAAGAGGCGAGUGGAAUUCCUGGUGUAGCGGUGAAAUGCGCAGAUAUCAGGAGGAACACCGGUGGCGAAGGCGGGUCUCUGGGCAGUAACUGACGCUGAGGAGCGAAAGCGUGGGGAGCGAACAGG
rnacentral:rRNA from 1 species